GAGAGGGAGCGCCCGAGUGCCAGAGUACUAGUCUGCGCGGAGCGCAAGUGGGCUCCCAGGGCAUCGCAGUGUCGCUGCUCACAGGGGUGGUUACCCUGUGUGAACCAGAAGCAAGCGCCUCAGAGUGACUGUGAGAUCGCGCGUGGGGGACGUCAGCUCCUCUCGGAUCUCGAGGGUCCGGUCUGGAGGCGAUUCUGAUUCCCCGUUAUACAGUCUGAUAACCUGCAAAGUUUGAGACAUUAAGAAUAGGACAAAAGAGAAGAGAAACCCAACCGAGACCAAAGGCGAAGAAACUGUUGCAGACCUGCUGCUCAGUUAAGAGAAGGACUGAACCGCGGAGAUUUCGGAGUGAACUCUGAGGUGCAAAGCACGGACCAACCCCAGCGGUGCGAUCCGCCGGGCUGGGUCUUCUAGCACCUUGAGUCACGCCUCCUUGGCGAGAAGGCGCCUCGCCUUUGAUUGCUUGCAGUUACUGCAGAAACUUCCU
rnacentral:lncRNA from 1 species